rnacentral:ncRNA from 12 species
GUCGGGAUAGCUCAGUUGGUAGAGCAGAGG